rnacentral:antisense_RNA from 1 species
CUUACGACCGCCCAACAAUAAUGAAAAGCCAACCAGCCCACCGGUAACAAUCAUAAUGAUUGAAUAGA